rnacentral:tRNA from 1 species
AAAUAAGAAGCGAUAAAUUGCAAUCAAUUUCGACUUGAUCUUAGAUGAUUUCAUCCUUAUUUA